ACGAAGGGGGCUAGCGUUGUUCGGAUUUACUGGGCGUAAAGCGUACGUAGGCUGAUUGACAAGUUAGGGGUGAAAUCCCAGAGCUCAACUCUGGAACUGCCUCUAAAACUGUUGGUCUCGAGUCCGGAAGAGGUGAGUGGAACUCCUAGUGUAGAGGUGGAAUUCGUAGAUAUUAGGAAGAACACCAGUGGCGAAGGCGGCUCACUGGUCCGGUACUGACGCUGAGGUACGAAAGCGUGGGGAGCAAACAGG
rnacentral:rRNA from 1 species